GAUGAACGCUGGCGGCGUGCCUAAUACAUGCAAGUCGAGCGAACAGACGAGGAGCUUGCUCCUCUGACGUUAGCGGCGGACGGGUGAGUAACACGUGGAUAACCUACCUAUAAGACUGGGAUAACUUCGGGAAACCGGAGCUAAUACCGGAUAAUAUAUUGAACCGCAUGGUUCAAUAGUGAAAGACGGUUUUGCUGUCACUUAUAGAUGGAUCCGCGCCGCAUUAGCUAGUUGGUAAGGUAACGGCUUACCAAGGCAACGAUGCGUAGCCGACCUGAGAGGGUGAUCGGCCACACUGGAACUGAGACACGGCCCAGACUCCUACGGGAGGCAGCAGUAGGGAAUCUUCCGCAAUGGGCGAAAGCCUGACGGAGCAACGCCGCGUGAGUGAUGAAGGUCUUCGGAUCGUAAAACUCUGUUAUUAGGGAAGAACAAAUGUGUAAGUAACUAUGCACGUCUUGACGGUACCUAAUCAGAAAGCCUCGGCUAACUACGUG
rnacentral:rRNA from 1 species